UUUAGUAUUUCAGUGUAGAGUCAAUUGUGGGGACUAUGUUUCAUGAAGCCAUUAGAAGACUGUUUGCUGACUGAGGGGUCUGGCAGUAACACAGAAUGAUCAGAGGAUCUCUCUUUCGGCUGCUGCUGACAACAACUGCAUUCAGGCCACAACCCUGUACUGGUGGUAGUUGGACCUGUGGCCGAAAGGUGGCCGGUUCGAAUCCCAGGCCGGGCCCUGGAAAAUAUGUGUGGAAUUGAUCUGACAACUGGAGGGCUGCUGAGUUCACAUCCUCAAAACAUUCCCCUACCAUUGGGUUAUUGAGCAAGGCCCUUAACCCAACAACAUGCUCUCCAUCCAGGGGCUCUGCACUGCAGCUUGAUCCUGUGCUGGUCUCAACUGUAUGUGUGAGGUCUGCUGUUUGGUGGGGUUGAGAACGGAGCAGAAGCCACAUGUUUGCUGUAACUAAUGGACAAAGCUGUAUUGUAUUGUAUUGUAAAGAAGACAGACAGAGUUGAUGUGGGUCAUCAUUCAAACAAAGAGAUGCCUCCCUGGCCACCAGUGCACAUUUCCAAACUACGUUUGCAUAUAAUGAAACAUUCUAAAAACUA